GACGAACGCUGGCGGCGUGCCUAAUACAUGCAAGUCGAGCGGAUCUUCAUUAGCUUGCUUUUGAAGAUCAGCGGCGGACGGGUGAGUAACACGUGGGCAACCUGCCUGUAAGACUGGAAUAACUUCGGGAAACCGGAGCUAAUACAGGAUAAUCCAUUUCCUCUCAUGAGGAAAAGCUGAAAGACGGGUUCGGCUGCGACUUACAGAUGGUCACGCGGCGCAUUAGCUAGUUGGUGAGGUAACGGCUCACCAAGGCGACGAUGCGUAGCCGACCUGAGAGGGUGAUCGGCCACACUGGGACUGAGACACGGCCCAGACUCCUACGGGAGGCAGCAGUAGGGAAUCUUCCGCAAUGGACGAAAGUCUGACGGAGCAACGCCGCGUGAGCGAUGAAGGCCUUCGGGUCGUAAAGCUCUGUUGUCAGGGAAGAACAAGUAUCGGAGUAACUGCCGGUACCUUGACGGUACCUGACCAGAAAGCCACGGCUAACUACGUGCCAGCCGCCGCGGUAAUAC
rnacentral:rRNA from 1 species